AUCGAACGCUGGCGGCAGGCCUAACACAUGCAAGUCGGGCGAGCGGAGGACGGGUGACCAAUGUAUGGGGAGUGCCUGAUGGAGGGGGUCAACUACUGGAAACGGUAGCUACUACCGCUUACCAGCAGAUAGGCCUGAGGGGAAUAGCUUGGAGGUGAGGGAACGGCGCACCAAGGAGACGAUGCCUAGCUGGGCUGCGAGGAUGAUCAGCCAAACUGGGACUGGGACACGGGCCAGAGUCGUACGGAGGCAGCAGUGGGGAAUAUUGCACCAUGGGCGCAAGGCUGAUGCAGCCAUGCCGCGUGUAUGAAGGAGGCCCUAGGGUUGUAAAGUCCUUUCAGUCGGGAGGCGUGACCGACAGAAGAAGCACCGGCUAACUCCGUGCCAGCAGCCGCGGUAAUUC
rnacentral:rRNA from 1 species